ACACGUAGGUAACCUGCCCAUGUGCCCGGGAUAACUUCUGGAAACGGAUGCUAAAACCGGAUAGGUAGCAGACAAGCAUUUGACUGCUAUUAAAGUGGCUAAGGCCAUGAACAUGGAUGGACCUGCGGUGCAUUAGCUAGUUGGUGAGGUAACGGCCCACCAAGGCGACGAUGCAUAGCCGGCCUGAGAGGGCGGACGGCCACAUUGGGACUGAGACACGGCCAAACUCCUACGGGAGGCAGCAUG
rnacentral:rRNA from 1 species